rnacentral:lncRNA from 1 species
GCCUGGCAGGACCCCGAGUUCAUGAGGGACGUGGAGGCGGCCACCGGGGUGGACCUCGGCUCGUCCAGGUGCGGCGGGAGAGGCAAGGGCGGCAGGAGGAAGCACUCGGGCCUCACGGACCUCAAGCGGCAGGCCGACACGGCGCGGGCACGCAUCGCCAAGAAAGUCUUUGCCAAAGGAGGGCGCCGUCCCGCCUGGCAUGUGCAGCUCCGAGGCCUCCUGAAGCGGUUGCUGGGCAGGGAGCAGAAAACGACUGCCCUCUGUGGGCUUAGAAGCAACCUUGCUGGGAGUCCCUGCUGUGGCUCAGCAGGUGGAGAAGCCGACUGGUGUUCACGAGGACACAGGCCUCACACGGUGGGUUAAGGAUCCGCCGUUGCUACAGGCUGAGGCAUCGGUCGCAGACGUGGCUCAGUUCCCGCGUGGCUGUGGCUGUGCCGCAGGCCGGCUGCUGCAGCUCCCAUUCAACCCCUGCCCGGCCUGGGAGCUUCCCUGUGCUGCGGGUGCAGCCUCAACGAGAGAAAGAAAGAAAAGCAACAGCCUCAUUGCGACGUACCCCGUGUGCCCUGGCCUUCGCCCUGUAAAGCACACGGUUCAGCGGCAGUAAAUCCAUUUGGGGCCACACAACCCCCGCCACCGUCCAGUUCCGGACUUCUCGUCACCCGAAGACCCCUGUCCCCCAGCCCUGGCGCCCUCGCGUCCGCUCUCUGUGGCUGGACUUGCCUUGGCCGGACCCCACCUGGGAGGGUCCGUAAACGUGGCACUGCGUUGCUGGCCUUCGCCCGGCUGAGGCGUGUCGCUGCCUCAGUCCUUGUCGCGGCGGCCGGAUGAUGCUCCACCGUGGGGGCGUCUGUGCCCUCGCUGGGGACAGUCGGGCCGUUGCACCUCGGAGCUGCCGUGGCCGAUGUUGCUGAGAUGCCGUGUUUAACUCUGGCGAUGAAGCAGCUGCACCGUUCCCCGUGCUGCCCUCGUCUCCCCAGCUCCUGCCGGUCGGCGCACGGUGCUGGGCACUCAGCACCCGCCGCUGUUGGGCUUUCUUAGUGGGGGGGUGGCAUCGUGGUUUUGAUUGGCGUUGUUCUGAUGAGUAAUGGCUUUGAACAUCUUUUCAGGUGCUCACUGGCCAUUCGGAUGUCUGCUUCAGAGAAACCUCCAGAGCCUCUGCCCAGGUUUAGUUGAAUUGUUUGGAGCUGCCCCAGUUCUUUACAUGGUCUGGGUGCUGGACCCUCUUGCGAUUUGCAGAGACUCUCUCCCAUUCUGUGUCUUCACUGUCCUGAUAGUGUCCUUUGAAACACAGAAAUUAGGAAUCUUGAUGACAUCUGGUAUAUCCGUUUUCCUUUGUCCCUUGUGCUUUUGGUGUCGCAUCUAGGCAGCCACGGCCUGAUCCGAGGUCAGGGACGCGCCCUUAGGCUUCCUUCUAAGGGUUUGGGUUCUGGCUCCUCAGUUCCCGUGUCUGGUCCCUUUUGAGUUCCGUUCUAUCUGUGGCUCUUCUGCACGUGGAUGUCUCAGCAUCGCUUCUCAGGAAGGUCAUUGCUCUUAAAUUGUCUCGGCACUUGUGUUGAUCAUCAGCGGACAGUAAAUGUGUGAAUUUAUUUCUGGGCUCUCAGUUCUGUAUAUCUUUGUGCCAUGGCCACUGUGUUCAUUGCCUCUGUGUUAGGUUUUUUCGUUUUUGUUUUUGUCUUUUGUCUUUUUUAAGGCUGCACCCAGGCAUAUGGAGGUUCCCAGACUAGGGGUCCAAUUAGAACUGUAGCUGCCGGCCUACACCACAGCCGCAGCCUCAGCAAUGCCAGAUCCGGGCUGUGUCUGCGACCUACACCACAGCUCACAGCAACGCCGGAUCCUUAACCCACCAAGCGAGGCCAGGGAUCAAACCCGCAACCUCAUGGUUCCUAGUCGGAUUUGUUUCCACUGCACCACGAUGGGAACUCCACCUUUGUGUUAAGUUUUGAAAUCCUCCAACUUUGUUCUUUUUAAAGAUUGUUUUGGGGAGUUCCCGGAUGGCCUAGUGGAUUAAGGAUCCAGCGUUGUCACUGCUGUGGUCUGGGUCACUGCAGUGGCGCUGGUUCGAUCCCUGGCCCAGGAACGUCUGCGUGCCGAGGGCAGGGCCAAAAAAAAGAGGUUGUUUUGGCCGUUCUGGGUUCCUUGCAUGUCCAAGUAAAUUUCGGGGACGUUUUGGUCCAGGUCACAUUGACCCUGGAGGUGCCUUUGGGAAGCAGAGCUGGUCCUGAAGGCCGUGGGUCUGAGAUACACGAGCAUGGCCUGCAGCAGAAGACACUCCAGCGUGGCGUGACCCUCGGCGUCGCGUGCUUGGAGGCAGGUCCCGGACUCGGGGGCUGACCGCAAAGUUCCACGUCAGUGCCCGUCACCCCGCGAUGCUCACGGAUCAACUGUGACCUCGUCCAAUGUUAAACUUGUAAUUCAUGAACUUGAAGUACCUUUCCCGUGUGCUGAGGGCGUCUUUAUUUCCACGGUGCUUUUAGUUGUCUUGUACAAGCCUUGGUUUCUUUUGUCCAGUUGAUCUGAAGUCCUGAAUCCCGUGUGACGCCGUGAAUUUCGUUUGUGCUUCGUUCACUUGCUGGCGCAGAGAAACACAGCUCAUCUUUUUAUGUCGGCCUCGUGUCCUGAAACCUUGCUGCAUUCACUUACUGGUUCUGAUAGUUGAAGGGGUGUGUGUUUGCGGGGGACUUCCUUAGGAUUUUCUGUGCCCGCCAUCGUGCCAUCUGCGAGAGCAAGUUUCAUUGCUUCCUUUGCAGUCUGGGUUCCUUUUAUUUCUGUCCCACCUGGUUGCUCUGACCGGAGCCUCGGUGCAGCGUCAGACAGGAGUGGAGAGAGCCGACCCCCUUGACACCCCCCCUGCUCCCAGAGGACAGGUGUCAGUCAGUCUGUGACCCACGAGGGUGCCGAGAGCGGUGGGGUUUUCGAGGACGCCUUAUUUCGGGGCGAGGAAGUUCCCCGAUGUUCCCGGCUUGCUGAGUGGUUUUGUCCCGUGAGGCAUGUGGAUCUCGUCAGUUGGCUUUUCUGCGUCUCUGGCAGUGAUCGCGGGUUUGCUCCUUCCUUCUGUUGGUGAGUAUAUUACACUCAGUGUUUUCCGUAUGUUGCCUUCAUGGGAUACAUCUCACACGGUCAGUUUCAGUAGUUUCUCUAUUUCCAGGAACUUACCUGUUUCUUCUAGGUUAUCUGAGGUAGCUUAUCGACACACCGUUAUUCAGAGGAUUCCUUUAUAAUCCCUUUCACUUCCGUCAGGUUGGUAGUAAUGUCUCCGCCAUCAUUCCUGAUAUUAGAAAUUCGAGUCUUUUUAAAUUUUCUUGGUUAGUCUAGAAAACGGUUUAUCAAUUUUGUUGAUCUAUUCAAAGUUGCUUUUCUGCCUUGUUUUCCAUUCUUUAUUACUUUCCACUCUAAUCUUUAUUAUUUCCUUUGGAUUCCUUUGGUUUAGUAUUUCUUACUCCUUUUCUAGUUUCUUUCUUUCUUUUUUUUUUUUUUUUGGCCAUGCCCAUGCCAUGCAAACGUUCCAGGUCCAGGGAUAGAACCUGUGCCACAACAGUGACACCACCAGGCCCUUACCCAGUGAGCCACCAGGGAACUCCUCUAGUUUCUUGUGGAAGUUAAUCUAUUGAUUUGAGCUCUCUUUUUUUAACGUCAGUGUUUACUGGUAUAAGUUUUCAUCUCAGCUCUGCUUUAGCUUCAGGCCGUAUAUUCCGGCAUGUUGUAUUUCCAUCUGCAUUGAUCCCCAAGCACGUCCUGAUUUCUCUCGUGAUUUCUCAUUGUACUGACCUUGUCUAUUUGGGAGUUUGUUUUCUGAUGUCCACAUACGUGUGAAUUCCCCAAAUUUCCUCCUGUUGUUUGACUUCUGACUUCAUGCCAUGUAGCCGAAGAACACAUUUUGUAUGACCUCAGUCCUUUAAAACCUGAGACUGUGGUUGCUCCUGGAGAGAGUGCUUUCCGAGCCCGAGGAGAUGCGGGUGCUCUGGUGGCUGGCGCUCUCGCCGUCCCUUGCGGCGGGUGGCUGGUGGGGUGUGUGCCUCCUCCUUCCCGGGUCUUUACCCCAGAGGUUGACCCCUUGUUGAGACGAGGGUGUUGAAAUCCGAGGCUGUUGUCGUGAAGUCGUCUCUUCCUCCUGUCUUUUCUGUCAGCUUCGCUCCACGUCGGGGGGCUCGGUGGCUCACUGCAGAUGUGGUCGCAGCCGUCGUUUCCUCUGACGACGGACCGCUGGUCCCGAGGCCGCCUCUGUCUCUGGGCGGCUUUUGCCCUCCCGGCGCUUUCCCACGACGUUGCCGUGCCUUUGGGUCGUGUGGGCCGUGUGCCCUUCUGCUCUGGUUGCACCUGCGCCUCUCAAGGGCUUCCCGUGGACACGGCACCUCGCUGCUGCUGUUUUUCUGGCUCUUCCGUCAGGGUUUCAUCUCUUUGCCUUUGAUGGAGUUACUGGUAAGAUAACCCCUGGCUCUUUUUUUUUUUUUUUUUUUUUUUCCGGUGGUAUCUUUGUCUGGUUUUGGAAUGAGGGUGAUGGUGGCAUCAUAGCAUGGCUUUGGGAGAGUUCCUUCUUCUUCAACCUUUUGGAAACGUUGCAGGAGGCUAGGCGCCAGACCCUCUUCGUAUGUUUGGUAGAAUUCGCCUGUGGAGCUGUCUGGUCCUGGGCUCUUCCUUGUAGGGGGUGUUUUGAUGACGUAUUUCAUUUCAUUUCUAACGCUCGGUCUGUUCAGUUGGCCUAGUUCUUCUUGAUUCAGUCUUGGCAGGCUCGAAGAGUCUCGAAGGUUGUCCAUUUCUUGCAACAUCUGCCAUUUUUCGGUUUUUCUACGUGUCUCUUUAAAUCUGUCUUCCUCUGUUACCUUGUUCUCCGGUGGUAAAUGGCUGUGUCAUUCCCAUGGAAGGCUUUAGUUCCCUUCUGUCGUCUUCACUCUUUGGUGGGUAAUUUUUUCAGGGGGUGCCGCGAGGAUUACCGUGCACGCAAACGCCCCGGGGGCGUCGGAGGUGCUCUCGAUGAGAGGCCGGGCCCCUGUGUCUCCCAAGCGGGGAGGGAGCAGGUGGCGCCCAGAGUGCGCUUGCGCGGACCUCUCUGGCCCCCGGAGCCCCGGUCCCGUCUCUUCAUUCUUUCACCUGCGUCUCAGACCGCACCUGUUGCCCUGCAUUGUAUCCAAGGUCACAGAUCCUCUGUGGCCUUGAAAACCUGCUGUGGAGUUGCUCUAGUGAACUUUUCAUUUUAGUUACCACACUUUUUCAGUCCACAGUUCCUGUGUUUUUUUUCUUCCUUCUCUCUCUCUCUUUUUAGGUUGUCUCUAUUUGGUAAAACAUCAUCUCAUGCUUUAAUUUUUCAGACACGGCUUCUUUAGUGCUUUGAACACACUUACGGGAGCCGAUUUCAACUCUUUGUCUGGUCUUUUGAGCACCUGGGCUCAUUUUCCUGAACAGCUUCUCUCGGCUGGCUUUUCCCUGUGCAGGGGCCCGCCGUUCCUGUGCGUGUGCGUGUGUGCUCCCCAGGUUUGUGGUGGCUGCUGUUUGCUUCGUGCAUUUCUGGGACGGAUUCUGUAACGUCUCUGUUCUUUCUUGCUGCCGGUGAAGUGCCUGUCCAGCAACUCGGCUGCUGAGUAAGAGCUGAGCAGAGACUUCCUGACGUGCUUUGACCCGGGGAGUCCCGUGGUUUUGCUGACAAGCUGUGUGCGUGUGUGUGUGGGUUGGGCACACCUUCAGCGUUCUGCCAGACAGCCGCCAGCUCUGCCUUGGCCCUCCUUUCAUGAGUGUUGCGAUCUUUGCCCCACAAGAAGGUAGCGUGUCACAGUUUUCAUCGGAGAGUGAGCACUUUUAACACGUGAAAGCACAUGCACUGUUACCCUUUUCUGUGAGUCGUAGUCCAUAUCCUUUACUUACUUUUCUGUUGGCUUAUUGGUUUCUUAUUAAACUGUAGGAGCUCUUCAUUCAAUUAGAGACCUAGCCCACUCGGAGUUCCUCUUGGAGCUCAGUGGGCUGAGAACCUGACUAGUAUCCAUGAGGAUGCAGGUUUGAACCCUGGCUCCACUCAGUGGGUGAAGGAUCCAGCGUUGCCACCAGCUGCAGCAUAGGUAGCAGAUGUAGCUCGGAUCUCGGAUGCUGUGGCUGUGGUGUAGGCUGGUGGCUGCAGCUCCGUUUCACCUCCUAGCCUGGGAGGUGCAGCCUUAAAAAAAAAAAAAAAAAAAAAAAAA